rnacentral:rRNA from 1 species
GCUUCCUGCAGUCGACGGCAGCACGGGGGCAACCCUGGUGGCGAGUGGCGAACGGGUGAGUAAUACAUCGGAACGUGUCCUGUAGUGGGGGAUAGCCCGGCGAAAGCCGGAUUAAUACCGCAUACGAUCUACGGAAGAAAGCGGGGGAUCUUCGGACCUCGCGCUGCAGGGGCGGCCGAUGGCAGAUUAGCUAGUUGGUGGGGUAAAGGCCUACCAAGGCGACGAUCUGUAGCUGGUCUGAGAGGACGACCAGCCACACUGGGACUGAGGCACGGCCCAGACUCCUACGGGAGGCAGCAGUGGGGAAUUUUGGACAAUGGGGGCAACCCUGAUCCAGCAAUGCCGCGUGUGUGAAGAAGGCCUUAGGGUUGUAAAGCACUUUUGUCCGGAAAGAAAACCAUCGCCCUAAUAUGGUGGUGGGAUGACGGUACCGGAAGAAUAAGCACCGGCUAACUACGUGCCAGCAGCCGCGGUAAUACGUAGGGUGCGAGCGUUAAUCGGAAUUACUGGGCGUAAAGCGUGCGCAGGCGGUCUGUUAAGACCGAUGUGAAAUCCCCGGGCUUAACCUGGGAACUGCAUUGGUGACUGGCAGGCUUUGAGUGUGGCAGAGGGAGGUAGAAUUCCACGUGUAGCAGUGAAAUGCGUAGAGAUGUGGAGGAAUACCGAUGGCGAAGGCAGCCUCCUGGGCCAACACUGACGCUCAUGCACGAAAGCGUGGGGAGCAAACANGAUUAGAUACCCUGGUAGUCCACGCCCUAAACGAUGUCAACUAGUUGUUGGGGAUUCAUUUCCUUAGUAACGUUAGCUUAACGCGUGAAGUUUGACCGCCUGGGGGAGUACGGGUCGCAAAG